AUAAAAAACCAAUGCCCUCUGGGCUCCUUGGUGAUUCAUAAUAACUUAACGAAUCGCAUGGCCUUGCGCCGGCGAUGGUUCAUUCAAAUUUCUGCCCUAUCAAUUUUCGAUGGUAGAGUAGUGGUCUACCAUGAUCUUAACGGGUAACGGGGAAUUAGGGUUCUAUUCCGGAGAAGGAGCCUGAGAAACGGCUACUACAUCCAAGGAAGGCAGCAGGCGCGCAAAUUACCCAAUGCUAAUUCAGCGAGGUAGUGACAAUGAAUACUGAUACGGGGCUCUUUCGGGUCUCGUAAUUGGAAUGAGUACAAUCUAAAUCCCUUAACGAGGAACAAUUGGAGGGCAAGUCUGGUGCCAGCAGCCGCGGUAAUUCCAGCUCCAAUAGCGUAUAUUAAAGUUGUUGCCGUUAAAAAGCUCGUAGUUGAACCUUGGACCUGGCUGAUCUGUCCUCCUAAGCGAGCGCACGGAUUCGGUCGGGUCUUUCCUUCUGGGGAGCCCUAUGCCCUUCACUGGGUGUAG
rnacentral:rRNA from 1 species